GUAAGGUUACCUUUUAUUCUCAUGGCCAUCCUGUAAUGCUGGUUUUAUUAUCCCUGCUUUUACAAAGGGAGUACAGCCUUGUUGGAGAGUUUAAGUAGCUUUCCCAGGAUUGCAAGAAGAAUUAUAUUUUCAAAAUUAUCAUCUGUUACAAUAUAAGUGGACUACCAAGGAACCCAGAGGAAGGACAGACAUUUACCAUGUUGGAGAGAGGGCCCAAACUCAAGCCCAGGGAGCGGACAAAAUCCUGAAAGCAGCUCGACCAAGUGGGAUGACUCAAAAGGGCUGCAUUUUGGACACAGAAGAAUACAAACUGAAGAAGACAUCUAUAAACAUCUAGGCUGGCCCUGUUCAGGUAGUAAUCAGGCCAGCCAGCUGGGCUCCCCAGCUUCAGCGUGAGUGGCGGCUCCCUGCCUGUGCUUGGAAUGGUCUGGAAGCCAGUCACUGCUGGCUCAUCUCCCUAGCCUUCCUUAAUGUUGGCCUUGGACUGACUGUGCUGCUGUGAAGACCUUGGAAAAUGUCUCGUGCCCACUCUGCUCCUCCCCACCAGGUCCUCACAGAUACUGAAGAUCUCGAUGACCUGUUUCCACACCCAUCAAAUUCCCCACUCUUCCUGGGAUAAAGUUUAUUUCUGGAUUAGCAAUUGUGGAUAGUCUUUAUGUCUACUCCAUUAUGUCUCUGUCUUUUAAUUCUCAACAUUUUCAGCUCUCAAAAGUCCAACUCCUGCAGUCAGAAGCUUUGACUUAUUGACAUCAGAUUAAAUAGACCAUCUGGGAGGCCAGAAGUUGACCACUGAUUGUCCCCAAUGCCAAAAGCCUCCUAAAGGAAUGAAUUCUUCCAGCUGAACGGAUUGUGGGGUGUCACUACCAGAACAUGUGGAAAAAUAAAUACACAUUAAUUAAUAUUUUCAAGUGUAAGAAAAUGUUCCUGUAUGCUGUUCUAUCUCCAUUUUCAGAUGGUGAGUUCCUCCAGGAUAAAGAUCAUGUCUCACUUAUUCUUUGGAGCCUCCAACCUGGCACAUUAGCAGACAUUUAAAAAGUUCUCUUUUUUAGUGGAUUAUUAAAAUAAGAAAAAUAGGUUUCUUGAUUUGAACUGGAUUUUUAAAAAAUAUUGUGGACUUAUUUAGAGAGGACUGUUCAGAGGAAAGUGAAGCUCAAAACUCCCCAAGCCCGGCUUCAGGGAUGCAUGGACCACGGACUUCACUCUCCACGCCGGGCUUCAGCAGCACAUGGACCACGGACUUUACUCUCCAGGCCGGGCUUCAGCAGUACGUGGACCACGGACUUCCAGAUGUUCAAACUGGU